GACGAACGCUGGCGGCGUGCCUAAUACAUGCAAGUAGAACGCUGAAGGAGGAGCUUGCUCUUCUGGAUGAGUUGCGAACGGGUGAGUAACGCGUAGGUAACCUGCCUGGUAGCGGGGGAUAACUAUUGGAAACGAUAGCUAAUACCGCAUAAGAGUAGAUGUUGCAUGACAUUUACUUAAAAGGUGCAAUUGCAUCACUACCAGAUGGACCUGCGUUGUAUUAGCUAGUUGGUGGGGUAACGGCUUACCAAGGCGACGAUACAUAGCCGACCUGAGAGGGUGAUCGGCCACACUGGGACUGAGACACGGCCCAGACUCCUACGGGAGGCAGCCGUAGGGAAUCUUCGGCAAUGGACGGAAGUCUGACCGAGCAACGCCGCGUGAGUGAAGAAGGUUUUCGGAUCGUAAAGCUCUGUUGUAAGAGAAGAACGAGUGUGAGAGUGGAAAGUUCACACUGUGACGGUAUCUUACCAGAAAGGGACGGCUAACUACGUG
rnacentral:rRNA from 1 species